GAGGGGCUACCGCACCUCUCCCGAAAGCAGGGGGCGGUGGGGGUUAACCUCGGUUUGCGCGUGAAAAGUGUAUGCGUGAACUUUUCAUGCGUGGAAAGUUAAUAUGAAUUUUUAAAUAAUACUUCAAUUGUGUGUGUAUAAACAGUACACACGUAAGCGGAGGAGGGGCUACCGCACUACAAUUUGGAGACAACUUAGACAUCUUGGAUUUUUUAAAGCGAAGAACGCUGAUAAGAAUCUCAUCUUCACCUCAGACGAACUUAAUGAAUUCUUUUCCAGUGUUACGGCAGACGCAGAUAGACAGCACUUUUAGCACCCUGUUUACUUUGGCAACGAAAUCUACGAAGACUCAAAAUUCUACUGGAGUAACAUCGAACAGUGAGAGGUGACUAAAGCUCUGCAACGAAUUAAAUCGGAUGCGGUAGGAGUUGAUGGCUUAUCUUGUAAACUCAUCAUCCGGGUUCUGUCAAGAAUUCUUCCUGUUUUGACUCACAUUUGUAAUUUUAGCUUGACCUACGGUGUUUACCCCGGUAUCUGGAAAACUGCUAUUAUCUACCCUAUUCCUAAGGUCAAAUGCCCAUCUGAAAUGCGGGAUUACAGGCCAAUCUCGAUCUUGUGCGCGGUCUCUAAAGCGUUAGAACGUAUCGCGGCAGAGCAAAUCACACGUUAUCUGGAAAAUACUGACAGUUUGGAUCCGUAUCAAUCUGCCUACAGAAGGGGACAUUCAACUCAGACUGCACUUAUUCGCGUUCUCGAUGACGUUAGACAGGCCGCUGACAAAAGGAUGAUGACUAUCGCUGUCUUUUUUGACUUCACUAAAGCCUUUGAUUACGUCAAUCAUUACAUCUUGAGACCUUGGCUUCUUCUUAAGAUGGUUGUGCUCCUACCUUGACAACAGAAAACAGACCGUGCGCGAUCCUGUUACGAGGGAAAUCUCGUCAGAGCGUCCAACUUUCUCCGGGGUGCCACAGGGCUCUGUUUUGGGACCUCUCUUAUUCGUCCUUUACCUGUUAAACUUCAGCACUGUCCUCAAGUACUGUAAAUACCAUUUCUACGCGGAUGAUCUAGUAAUUUAUCUACACACGGAACUUAAGCUCAACUUAAGCAGUUCAGACCAUUCUUAGAAUCAACGAAGACAUCACCAGAAUCACUCAUUGGGCUACUACAAACAAGCUAUCACUGAAUCCAAAUAAGACAAAGGCCAUGGUCAUGGGUACCUCCAGAUUUAUUAGUGGAUUAACCUGGGAUGAACUGCCUAGGAUUCUAUUAACGACUCAGUCAUUUCUUUCUGCGACUCGGUACAGUACCUAGGCGUCUUUCGAAUACACUCUUUUGGGACACACAAGUCACAAAAACGUCAACCAAAGCUUUUGCAACGUUACACCAGCUAAAGCUGUGCAAACAUCUGUUACCGCUUUCUCUGAGAUCACGGCUAAUUACCACCUUGAUACUACCAAUGUUUGACUAUUGUUGCACCGCACUCAUAGACAUCACCGGGAGCAGAACUUUCGCUUACGGAGGUCCCUGAACGCUUGUGUUCGGUUCAUCUUUCAAAUAAAACGGGAUGAGCAUAUCACCCCCUUCUAUGUAAAGCUUUGAUGGCUCAAAAUCAAAUCUAGGCGCAUCUACUUCGUCGGCUGCCUCACAUACUCAUCCCUGCAUCCCAAAAUCUCCGAUGCUCCUCUAACAUUCGAGCGUAGAUGUGAUAAAGCAACACGUGAAACAAGGGUUUCGGCCGAUGCUCUUAUUCUACCACAAUGUCGUACAGAAUUUUAUAGACGCUCUUUCAUAUGCACUGCUGCUGAGUUCUGGAAUCGCAUCCCAAACGAAAUAUGUCAUGCACCCACUCUUGGCACUUUUAAGCGAAAACUUUAUGACUAUCUGCUCUGUAACAAUGACUGACAUCUUAUUACGUUGUAUAACUAUUGUAUGCAAUUGUUUCUUUUUCGUAUUUUAUGAUAAGGUAAAUGUCCCCAUGGCCGACCAUGUUCCCUCUACCGACUUUUUUGACGUGAAACGUUGUUUACGAGGCUGCUGAUUCAACAACACGUUCAUUAGUGCAGUGGAAAAAUUCAGGAAUUCGUGCAGUACAAAAUAAUUAUAACGUGCAGAUACCAUACACGUAAACGUCAGUAUCAUCGAAGCUGCGGAAGCCGACGGCUGCGGUGAGGUUAUCCGCUUAGAGGCAGUACUAUGUGGGAUCUCGGUAGUCGCGGCGCCGUGGUGUUGAGUGUGACGUGUGGGUGCGUGCUGAUAUACAACGCCUGCUCGUCAACGACAGUCUGCUGUCGCCGCACGCGUAUCACGUUCUCGGUUACCUGCGGGAGGCGAUUCACGAGCUCGGCGCGGCCCUCCGUGUCGUCCACGUCCACGGUACCGGUUACGUGCGUAAGCUCUGGCACAGUGCGAGCCGUUGUUACCGCGAGCGUUUCCCUUCGUUCAGGAUGGACAGGCGACGCGCGAGCAAUUAUCAGCUCAGCAGCGACUCGUACGCUGCCAAGCGCGGAGAGUCGCCGUCGUUACCGUCAUCGCCAUCGUCGUCGUCGUCGUCGUCCAGGUAAUCGGUAAUGGGGACAUGCCCGGUCAAAAUUGGACACAGCUGGUCGGUAGAGAGGGCACGCACUAGUGCGCCUUUAUUCUUCUCUAUCUAGAAAAAUACUUGACGGAAUGGAUUGAGCCUACGAUUUUUGGAAAGUGCAUGGAUGAAGCUAUCCACCAGUAUGAAACUCUUUAUCGAAUUUAUUUUUGUCACGCUUGACAACGCCAUUCUUUUGUUGGGUCGGCCUUAUAGGUGUCGGCCAUAGGGACAUUUACCUUAUCUCU